rnacentral:rRNA from 1 species
UUAAGCUACUAAGGGUGUACGGUGAAUGCCCUGGCAUCAGAAGGCGAUGAAGGACGUAGCUAGCUGCGAUAAGCCCCGGGGAGCCGCAAGCAGGCCGUGAUCCGAGGAUGUCCGAAUGGGGAAACCCAGGCGAUGAAUGCCGCCUAUCCUCUGCUGAAUACAUAGGCAGUGAGAAGCCCACGCAGGGAAGUGAAACAUCUCAGUACCUGCAGGAAUAGAAAUCAAUCGAGAUUCCCCCAGUAGUGGCGAGCGAAAAGGGAACAGCCUAAACUGUGCCGAUGUCAAGCCCGUGUGCGUUGUCGGCGUAGUGUUGUAGGCCUUCAUUGGACGGUGAUACGGAGCCGUCGGCGAGUUACAAAUUAGGAUCGUAGCAGAAUAGUCUGGAAAGGCUGACCAUAGAAGGUGACAGUCCUGUAUGUAAAACGACCCUAACUCGUUGAAUGGAGGUCCUGAGUACCACGGGGCCCGAGAAACCUUGUGGGAAUCUGGGACGACCACGUUCCAAGGCUAAAUACUCUCUGAUGACCGAUAGUGAACCAGUACCGUGAGGGAAAGGUGAAAAGAACCCCGGUGAGGGGAGUGAAAUAGAACCUGAAACCGUACACCUACAAGCAGCGAAAGGGCUAUGCCCGCAAGGGAAUGCCUGAUCGUGUGCCUUUUGCUUAAUGAGCCUGCGAGUUAUUUAGCGUAGCAAGGUUAAGGCGAAGAGCCGGAGCCGUAGCGAAAGCGAGUCCGAAUUGGGCAUUGAGUUGCGCUGAAUAGACCCGAAGCGAAGUGAUCUACCCAUGGCCAAGGCGAAUCCGCCGUAACAGGCGGAGGAGGCCUGAACUGAUGUUAGUUGCAAAUGGCUCGGAUGAGCUGUGGGUAGGGGUGAAAGGCUAAUCAAACUUCGUGAUUGCUGGUUCUCCCCGAAAUAACUAGAGGGUUAGCCUCGUUUCAGCCGUGACGGAGGUAGAGCACUGAAUGAGCUAGGGGCGUUCCAACGCUACCGAACUCAAUCAAACUCCGAAUGCCGUUACUGGACGAACGGGAGUUAGACUACGAGUGCUAAGAUCCGUGGUCAAAAGGGAAACAGCCCAGACCGUCAGCUAAGGUCCCUAAUCGUGAGCUAAGUGGAAAAGGUUGUAAGAUCGCUCAGACAGCCAGGAGGUUGGCUUAGAAGCAGCCAUCCUUUAAAGAGUGCGUAAUAGCUCACUGGUCGAGCGAUUUUGCGCCGAAAAUGUAACGGGGCUCAAGUUCACAACCGAAGCUACGGACUUGCAUCGCAAGAUGUGAGUGGUAGGGGAGCAUUCUCUGUGCGGUGAAGGUUGACCGACAAGGACAACUGGAGCGCAGAGAAGAGAUUAUGCAGGCAUAAGUAGCGAUAAACGAUGUGAGAAUCAUCGUCCCCGUAAGCCUAAGGUUUCCUGGCCUAUGUUCGUCAGGUCAGGGUGAGUCGGAUCCUAAGCCGAGGUCGACAGACGUAGGCGAUGGCAAACAGGUCAAUAUUCCUGUACCACCGUAUUGACGUUAUCAGCGAAGGGGGGACGCAGAAGGGUAGGCACCGCCGGGUCCCUGGAAUACCCGGUCCAAGCAUGUAGGCGGGAACUGUAGGCAAAUCCGCGGUUCCGUUAACGCCGAGAUGUGAUGGGGAGGCCGCAAGGCCAUAAACGGGCUGAUCCCACGCUGCCGAGAAAAGCCUCGUAGCGAGUCAGUACGAUGUCCGUACCGCAAACCGACACAGGUAGGUGGGUGGAAUACACCAAGGGGCGUGAGAGAACACUCCCUAAGGAACUAUGCAAUUUAGCCCCGUAACUUCGGGAGAAGGGGUGCCCUGCGUAAGUGAGGCCGUACAGGCCGAGCUGAACGGGGUUGCAAUAAAGUGGCUCUAGCGACUGUUUACCAAAAACACAGGACUCUGCUAACACGAAAGUGGAUGUAUAGGGUCUGACGCCUGCCCGGUGCUGGAAGGUUAACCGGAGGAGUUAGCCGCAAGGCAAAGCUUUGAAGGGAAGCCCCAGUAAACGGCGGCCGUAACUAUAACGGUCCUAAGGUAGCGAAAUUCCUUGUCGGGUAAGUUCCGACCUGCAUGAAUGGCGUAACGA